UACAGAGGUCCCAAGCGUUGUUCGGAUUCACUGGGCGUAAAGGGUGCGUAGGCGGUGGGGUAAGUCGGAUGUGAAAUCUCCGAGCUCAACUCGGAAAUGGCAUUGGAAACUACCCUGCUAGAGGGUCGGAGGGGGGACUGGAAUACUUGGUGUAGCAGUGAAAUGCGUAGAUAUCAAGUGGAACACCAGUGGCGAAGGCGAGUCCCUGGACGACUCCUGACACUGAGGCGCGAAAGCUAGGGGAGCAAACAGG
rnacentral:rRNA from 1 species